UGGGAUUUUAGUCCAUCAUAG
rnacentral:miRNA from 1 species